ensembl:lncRNA
CAGAAAAUAGUUUUUAAAUAUUCAGGAUUGGAAAUCAGAGAUUGAUUUUAAAAGCCAUUUGUAGCAUUUGUGCAAUCUAUUCUUAUCUCUUCCUAUAUUAUGUCUUCUUUCUUUUUUCUUUUCUUUUCUAAAAGUGUGCACCAGCUGAUGUGACUGAAACAAUUGUGUGUGAUUGUUUCACAGAUGAUGGUAAUGGUCCAAUCCUGGUGAGUCCUGUUCAUCCUGUGACUGAGGGAGCUUCUGUUAGUCUGAGCUGCAGUUUGAGAACACAAAAAAUACUUUCCAAUGUGUUUUUCUAUCACAAUGACAAACUUAUUGAAAAUGAUCCCCGAGGGGAGCUGAAGAUCUCUGCAGUGUCAAAGUCUGAUGAAGGUUUCUACAAGUGUCAGUACUCAGGAAGAGAGUCAGCACAGAGCUGGAUGUCAGUUAAAGAUUCAGGCUUCAUCAGUCCAAUGACCACCACCAAUCAUGUAGUCAACCAGAGUGAAAUUCACAAACACAACUGUCUUGACCAUGGUGCAGGUGAAAUACACGAUGUUACAUACUCUGUAAUUCAGCUUAAACAUGUUGGAAAAAAGAGGAAGCGUCAUAAAUCACAGGAGCAUACUAUUUACUCAGAGGUGAAGGUGGGAGUUGAAGAAGACAUUCCAACAUAUGCCGAGAUCAACCGUCACAAUAAAGCAAAAGCUAAGGAAAACCAGGAAGACAGUCCAACGUAUGCCCAGGUCAACCGUCACAAUAAAAGAGCAUCCAAGAACAACCAGCGUCAUUGAACCGAAUUGUAGCAGUAAAACCAACCUCAAGCUUCUUAUACAGAAAUGUCUGUAGCUUGUUCAGUAUUUUGUACAGUUUUUUUAGUGAUAGUCAUCAUCAUUAUAAUAUACAGUAUACAAUAUAUAUAAUAUAUGGUACAGACAAGGUGUUUUCAUUUAGUGUUCAUAUUAUCUGUAUUCAUUUAAUAAUAAAACAUGAUUUAAAGUUAGCUUUUGCAGUGUAACAUACGAUAGGUUCCUCUAUGGGUACAAAGAAAUACUAUAAAUGCAUGUAUUGAAAGUUUUUGAACAUUACCUAAAAGAGGACUGAUAUAAUACUGUAUGGAUUUAAAUGUGUGAAUAAAUGCAUUUCUUCAUGGAAAUUGUAUGCAGUUAUAGUUUGGGUUUUUAUCUUUUUUUAUUUUGGCCUGAGCAGUGUUUUUGUUCUAUCAUGAUAUAGCUCUACAAUAUAAUUGUAAAAAUGUAAAGGAUUUAUCUUUUGUAACUUUCAACUAAAUGACCAUGUAUACAAUAUGAAUAGCAAAUCACAGAGACAGCUUAAAGUUAAUAGACAUUUAGUACUGGGGUUCUAUUAUUUUGAAAAACGAGUGUUUAGAAAAUCCAAUCAGAGUAAAUUCUCCGCUAUAAAAAUUUUCCUCUACAUUGGACCUAAUAAUUUGCUCAUGCACCAUUUUUCUUCCGAUCUUCACUGAAAAUGGGAAAAUACUAUUUUCAGACAAAGACUCAAAAUCUCAAAAUUUUGGCAAUCUGGGUUGGUCAAAAAUCAACCAAGCAACUUUUUUUUUUUUUUCUUCGCAAUUUUGAGACCAACUGAACAGCUUUAUCCUUUCAUCUCUGCAUAUAAUGUUGGAACACCUGGGCUUGAGGUACCCCUGUUCUGAGUAAGCUUGGUUAUAAAAGUGCCCUCCUUUCUGCAGUCACACCUCUCCAUUGCUCUCUGUCUGGAUUUUUGUUUAAAGCCUUCUGACUUGGACAAGCCAGGAUAUAGCAUGAUUUCUUGAGUCAUUUUUUGUUGCUUUCUACAUGCUUUGCUAUGCAUCCUGCAUUAACGAUGGGCAACAACAUUUUGGUAUUGAUCCAAUGUUGUGUGCACUUUAUGUAGUCCUGUAUUGAUUUACUGUUUUAUGUAGCACCAAGGUCUUGGAGGAAUGCUGUCUCGUUUCACUGUGUACUGAACCACUGUAUAUGGUUGACAUGACAAUAAAGCCAC